UACAGAGGUCUCAAGCGUUGUUCGGAUUCAUUGGGCGUAAAGGGUGUGUAGGUGGCGCGCUAAGUCGGGUGUGAAAUUUCGGAGCUUAACUCCGAAACUGCAUUCGAUACUGGCGUGCUUGAGGACUGGAGAGGAGACUGGAAUUCCUGGUGUAGCAGUGAAAUGCGUAGAUAUCAGGAGGAACACCGAUGGCGAAGGCAGGUCUCUGGGCCACUACUGACGCUGAGAAGCGAAAGCAUGGGGAGCGAACAGG
rnacentral:rRNA from 1 species